UUAUUUAUAGUCUAGUUGGUUAGGAUACUUGACUUUCACUCGAGAGACCUGGGGUUCAAUUCCUAGCAACAAAA
rnacentral:tRNA from 1 species